rnacentral:rRNA from 1 species
AGGGAAAGCUGGAGGCAUGCUUUACACAUGCAAGUCGAACGGUAACAGGCCGCAAGGUGCUGACGUGUGGCGAACGGGUGUGUAAUGCAUCGGAAUGUGCCCCGUCGUGGGGGAUAACUACUCGAAAGAGUAGCUAAUACCGCAUACGAUCUAUGGAUGAAAGCGGGGGACCGUAAGGCCUCGCGCGAUUGGAGCGGCCGAUGUCAGAUUAGGUAGUUGGUGGGGUAAAGGCUCACCAAGCCAACGAUCUGUAGCUGGUCUGAGAGGACAACCAGCCACACUGGGACUGAGACACGGCCCAGACUCCUACAGGAUGCAGCAGUGGGGAAUUUUGGACUAUGGGAGCAGUCCUGAUCCAGCAAUACCGCGUGCAGGCAGAAGGCCUUCGGGUUGUAGACUGCUUUUGUACGGAACGAAACGACUCUGGUUAAUACCCGUGGCUAAUGACGGUACCGUAAGAAUGAGCACCGGCUUACUACGUG